CCACGAUUACCGGAAGUGAAAAACGACCUUGGAUAGAAAACAAAAUGUCAGCAUCUAGAGGGUUUUUCGCUAAAUUAAGGGAGGCCAGGGCUUUCCGUGCAAGAUGGCGCGGUGGUGCUGGAGACGCAAAUCCAAUGGAUGAGCUCAUUCCAGUACAUAACCAAAUAUUUGAGGUGCGCCACCCAACCUCAUUUGCGAUCAAGUUUGGCAUCUUCUGUUCAACAGGAUUGUCCGCCCCAUUCUAUCUGUGUAAAGUCAAGAUGCAAAGGGCUGCUGACUCCUCAUAGAUGUUCGCUAUGCUAUGUAUGAAGCCCCACAGCAGUUCUCCAUAAAAUCAGAAGGGAUUUUAACAAAUAAACAGUUUCAUCAGAGUGCUUUUCAGUGGAAUACAAAAUAAAUAAAUUUAGAAUAAACAUUGAAUUAGGGCUGUAGUACUUUUGAAAUAAAGUUUCAUGCAUAAAAAUUAAAUAAGGUGAAGUGAUAAUUGGAGAAAAACAUUGUUAAAUAUAUGUGAAACUUGUAAUGAUUUUUUUAUUGAUAUAAUGCUGAUGAAGUGUUGUAUUUAUAGAAAUAAAUUGUCUACAAUACAAA